rnacentral:rRNA from 1 species
UACGGAGGGUGCAAACGUUGCUCGGAAUCAUUGGGCGUAAAGCGCACGUAGGCGGUCCGUUAAGUUGGAUGUGAAAGCCCCGGGCUCAACCCGGGAAGUGCAUACAAAACUGGCGGACUUGAAUAUGGAAGAGGGUCGCGGAAUUCCCGGUGUAGAGGUGAAAUUCGUAGAUAUCGGGAGGAACACCAGUGGCGAAGGCGGCGACCUGGGCCAAUAUUGACGCUGAGGUGCGAAAGCGUGGGGAGCAAACAGG